AUGCUCAGUUCAGCAACAUAUAUACUAAAAUUGGAAUGAUAUAUAGAUUAGUAUGGCUCCUGUGCAAGGACGACAUGCAAAUUUGUUAAGUGUUCCAUAUUAAA
ensembl:snRNA U6 U6 spliceosomal RNA